rnacentral:rRNA from 1 species
GGAUUCCCCUAGUAACGGCGAGUGAAGCGGGAAGAGCUCAAAUUUGAAAUCUGGCGGUCUAAGGCCGUCCGAAUUGUAAUCUGGAGAAGCGUUUUCCGUGUUGGACCGUGUACAAGUCCCUUGGAACAGGGCGUCAUAGAGGGUGAGAAUCCCGUCUUUGACACGGACUACCAAUGCUAUGCGAUGCGCUCUCGAAGAGUCGAGUUGUUUGGGAAUGCAGCUCAAAACGGGUGGUAAAUUCCAUCUAAAGCUAAAUACAGGCGAAAGACCGAUAGCGAACAAGUACCGUGAGGGAAAGAUGAAAAGCACUUUGGAAAGAGAGUUAAACAGUACGUGAAAUUGUUGAAAGGGAAACGAUUGAAGUCAGUCGCGUCUCUCGGGAUUCAACCUUGCUUAAUUGCCUGGCGUAUUUCCCGAGGCGACGGGCCAGCAUCGAUUUCGACCGACGGAGAAAGGCAAGGGGAAUGUGGCACCUUCGGGUGUGUUAUAGCCCCUUGUUGUAUGCGCCGGUGGGGAUCGAGGACCGCAGCACGCCUCUAAUGGCCGGGGUUCGCCCACGUAACGUGCUUAGGAUGCUGGCGUAAUGGCUUUAAACGACCCGUCUG